UUUUCGCACAUGAAAGUAAAGUAAAAAUUGUAUGAACAGAAAUACAGAUAACCAAAAUAUAAGUUUUGAUCUGCAAUGACACGUGGGCCCACAUCUAUCUAAAAUGCAUCGGAAGCUGAAAACCUACAGCUUUUACCAAUUCGGGUCCAAAUGAAGGUCCUUGUCAAAGUCAGCUAACUAUGGAAUUCCCCGAGCCUGAAAUGUGAGGAAAUGAGGGUAGUGAGAUUAUAAAAUCCCAGUGAGUAAACAGAUACCAUCUAAACUAUCUAAAGUCGAGUAAAUGGAGACAAUUAAAAUAAGUCAUCAUACUGUAAUUUCAUUACCUUUCAACUCAUUUCAACCAAAUAAAAUCAAUCCAUAUAAAUCAAGUAAUCAACUUGGCUUAUGAAUUUCUUAAAACUUUGGCUCGUGCCAAAACUCAUACUCGGUGAUACCUUGCGCAAGGCAUCUAACUGAGUCCACCAAGGCUGUUAAAAUUUUGUAUACACUUAAAAUAUAUUUUUGUUUGAAAAAAAUACAGUCGUUCCUUGACGUUGGCUGAGUUCCCCUUCACGUGGUGGUUUGGCGUGAAGUGAACCCUAAGCUUUACCCCAGGAGAUACCCUACGUGCCUCUCCGUUCGAGGUAAUAAUAUAAUGGAGUUUACCGUGCCCCUUUAAUAGGCUGGUCCACGGAACCCCCUCUGCAGUGAAUAAUUAAUAUAUACUCCACCAAUCAAUAAAAUUCAUUCUAGCAUGACAUGGCAAUUUAUCGACACCUAGCCUCUCAAGGCUGAAUACUUAGUACAAAUAAUUCUAACACCAAAAUCAGUUUAGCCAUUCAUGCUCAUUUAUUGUCAUAAGCCAUUCAAUUUAAAACCAUAAAUUUGCAACACAAGCAAGAAGUCUCCAAUUACUCUAUUUCAAAACCAAUAUUCGAUUUUCCAGAAAAUUUAUAAAAUCACAAUUUCUCUUAAAACAUAGCAAUUUACCAUUUUAAACCCAUUUUCCAUAAAAUCACACAAUUGUAUAAAACUACUCUAGAUAAUUAAGACGAUAAUAAGUUUACUCACUGUUCUAGGAGUCGAUGUACUCCUAAUCCCAGUCUCCAAGCACAAUCUCUGUACUUUUACCAGUGUACUUUGCUCACCACCUAUCCAUAAUGUACAAUACAUAAUUCACCACAUCAAUACUUGACCAUUAUAAAAUCAAUUCAGGUUCGGUAUAUAUGCAUGAUAUGAUAUACAACUUAUCCGACUACCGCUUAAAUGCGGUGUUGACCUAAUUCGGCCUAUUAUCUCCAAUUUAACUCCAAAUCAAUUCUUCUCACUUUCUACACUCCAAUUAUACCUAAAUUACCUUAAUGACUGUGAAUGAGAUUCAAUUUAUCAGUCUCGAUAGCAAAUUACGAAAAUACCUCUAGUGGGUAAAAAUCGUAUUUUUGCUCCGAAAAUUUCCAUUAUUUUUCUAGGCUCAUAAUUCAUCAUUUCUUAACCAAUUCUCCUAAAAUGAAAAUCAAAUUUAUCCUCACUCAACACAUGAUAAAUUCGGCCAUUAAUGGUUGUGGGAGAAAAUAAGUUCUUUUCUUCUUGUUUUGUUUCUAAAUAUGCUAAACUAACUUAAAACACUAACAUAACUUAAAAUCAAAUUAAUCUAACAAGUUUCUCUCUCCUAACCCAUUUUUCCAGAAUUGAAUUCAUCAUAAUAACUCAAUAUUCAACCAUGGAAAUCAAGAACAAAAGCAUGGGUAAGCUAGGUAUCAAGGAGAACUAAAGAAAUUCUAACUUACCUAGCUUGUUUCCUUGAUUUCUUCACUUUUUCUUUGAAUUUUCCACCUAGGUUUUCUUGUUUUUUCCUUUGUUCUUCCUCUUUUUCUCUCUCUUCCUUGCUUG
rnacentral:lncRNA from 1 species